ACAACAACAUAUUCUCUGGAAGAGUUCCAAUUAAAACCAUGAAUGAAUAUCUCUAGAAGGAACAACUAUAUGCAGCUUAAUUAUGACAUCCCCGAAAGUGGGGUGGGUUUGGAAAUAUUAUAAAAAGAACACCAACGAGCUUGAGCGAAGGAAAAAGAAGAAGAAGAAGAAGAAGUUGAGACAAAGGCCACCAAAACAAUAGAGCAAAGUCACCGCAUUUCCAUUAGUAUUUACCUGCAGUUGAAAAAAAGAGAAAGAAAUUGGCAAGGAAUAACAUUUCAGUUCUAGGAUGGAAAAAUAAACUUGAAUAGAAGGAUGAGUAAGAACCACUGUUUCCAGCUCGUCUAAUGAAGGAGAGGAAGACAAUAAUGAGGGCGACUCCGGCCAUGAGCCCAACGACAACAGCCAGAGUUUUCCCGGCCUCGCCACCUGAAAUUUUUAAAAGAAAAGGAGUGCAAUAAUGGAGACCAGACCCCUUCGCAUUAAACAAGUUACUGUCAUCGAUUCUGAUACUGUGGAGAAUAAUCAAUGAGAUCUCCUAAUCAAGUGUCACAUUUGCACCAUAUGACAGGAGGAAAAAAAAGAAAGAAAAAGAAACCUUACAGGCCAAAAAGGUUGUAAAGCCAUCCUUUCCAUUUCUUUGCCUUUGAUUUCGUUUGGGACAAACUACCACUUCUUGCUGUAUCUUUAAUAUAAAAAAGAAGGAAAAGAAAAGAAAUCAUUGUUAUGAGGACUUGGGGAGAGCACUGUUAUUAUACACUUGGGAGAAAAGUUGGUGGAACGUGGAACCGCAAGUUGGCCACCAAACUGGGUCGUAUGUUCGUCCAAAUGACUUAAUAUCCAGGCUUGUGAUCGGUAUUAGAAAGUAUGGUAGCCUUUGAGUUGAACUUGAUGAAGGGAGAGAGAGAGAGAGAGAGAGAGAGAGAGAGAGG
rnacentral:lncRNA from 1 species